UGGGGAAUAUUGCACAAUGGGCGCAAGCCUGAUGCAGCCAUGCCGCGUGUGUGAAGAAGGCCUUCGGGUUGUAAAGCACUUUCAGCGGGGAGGAAGGCGGUGAGGUUAAUAACCUCACCGAUUGACGUUACCGACAGAAGAAGCACCGGCUAACUCCGUGCCAGCAGCCGCGGUAAUACGGAGGGUGCAAGCGUUAAUCGGAAUUACUGGGCGUAAAGCGCACGCAGGCGGUUGAUUGAGUCAGAUGUGAAAUCCCCGGGCUUAACCCGGGAAUUGCAUCUGAUACUGGUCAGCUAGAGUCUUGUAGAGGGGGGUAGAAUUCCAUGUGUAGCGGUGAAAUGCGUAGAGAUGUGGAGGAAUACCGGUGGCGAAGGCGGCCCCCUGGACAAAGACUGACGCUCAGGUGCGAAAGCGUGGGGAGCAAACAGG
rnacentral:rRNA from 1 species